UCCGGUUUGAUUCCUUACUGGUCGGCUGGCAGUAGCUGCAGUUUCGUGUAGUUAGCGUGUAGCAGUUUUGCUAUUUGUUUCUUGUGUGUAACAUUCCAUGAUCCGUUUGUUCAUUCCUAGUUUGCUUUUUGCCCCUUUGUGUGGCUUGUUUUCCUUCGGUGUGCUCUUGUAGUGAAUUUAACGACUGCUGAACUUUCAGUCCUCUCACACUACAGGAGUGAGCACAUUUGUUUAUGCUUAUCCAGAACAAGUGCAGUGUUCUCAUUAUGACUCAAAGAUAUGUACAGUGUUGGGUGAUCGUGUCAAGUUGUUCCAGCCCUUUGGGACAGAGAUGGAGUGUGUGCAAACACUUGGAGGUCUGAGAGGGGGGAAUUUUCUGGAAGAUCUGAAUGCUCCUGUCUGAGAAUUAAAUUGCUGACCAACCUGGACCCCACACUGUGACCAAUUGCAUCCCAACUACUGCAAAGUGAUCGCUUUAACAACAAAGACAUGGUAAUCCAUAAUUUACAACUGAGUAUUUCUGAGCAAGAAGAGGAAAUCAUUCAACUCAGAAGACAGAUCAGUGAGCUGCAAACUUCACCAAAGAGGUCAUCACUAUAAUAACUACUGACUAUCCAGUAAUUAUGUGACUUUGGCAUAUUAUGUGUAUAGUUUUCCUUUAUUCAUUUUUGGGAAUGUCCCUGUGUCCCAACAUUAGUCAAAUUUGUCAGCAUGUAUGAAGACCGCAUGUACUUCUGGGAACAAUUUUUCUUUUGUCUUUUAAAACAUUAAAGUAUUUUAUAUUUCA